ACGGCUCAGUAACACGUGGACAAUCUGCCCUGAAGUGGAGGAUAAUCCCGGGAAACUGGGGGUAAUACUCCAUAGUUCGUGCUGACUGGAAUGUUAUGCGAACGAAAGAUCCGUCGCUUCAGGAUGAGUCUGCGGCCGAUUAGGUAGUUGUUGGGGUAACGGCCCAACAAGCCUGUCAUCGGUACGGGUUGUGGGAGCAAGAGCCCGGAGAUGGAUCCUGAGACACGAAUCCAGGCCCUACGGGGCGCAGCAGGCGCGAAAACUUUACCAUGCGGGCAACCGUGAUAAGGAAACCCCGAGUGCCAGCACAGGCUGGCUGUCCGCCAGUGUAAAUAACUGGUGAAGAAAGGGCCGGGCAAGACCGGUGCCAGCCGCCGCGGUAAUACCGGCGGCUCGAGUGGUGGCCACUAUUACUGGGCUUAAAGGGUCCGUAGCUUGAUAUGCAAGUCUCUUGAGAAAUCCGCCGGCUUAACUGGUGGGCGUUCAGGGGAAACUGCAUUUCUAGGGACCGGGAGAGGUGAGAGGUACUGCCGGGGUAGGAGUGAAAUCCUGUAAUCCCGGUGGGACCACCUAUGGCGAAGGCAUCUCACCAGAACGGGUCCGACAGUGAGGGACGAAAGCUGGGGGAGCAAACCGGAUUAGAUACCCGGGUAGUCCCAGCUGUAAACGAUGCGCGUUAGGUGUGCCAGUGACCACGUGUCACUGAGGUGCCGAAGGGAAACCGUGAAACGCGCCGCCUGGGGAGUACGGUCGCAAGGCUGAAACUUAAAGGAAUUGGCGGGGGAGCAC
rnacentral:rRNA from 1 species